GACGAACGCUGGCGGAGUGCCUAAUACAUGCACGUAGGACGCAGUUGCGAACGGGUGAGUAACGCGUAGGUAACUACCUAUUAGAGGGGGAUAACUAUUGGAAACGAUAGAUAAUACCGCAUACUAGUAGAUGAACCUGCGUUGUAUUAGCUAGUAUGUAUGGUAAUGCCCUACCUAGGCAACGAUACUUGGCCGACCUGAGAGGGUGAGCGGCCGACAUUGGAUUGAGUAACGGCUCAGAUUCCUACGGGAGACAGCAGGAGGGAAACGUUGGCAAUGGGGGGAACCCUGACCGAGCAACGCCGCGUGAGUGAAGAAGGUUUUCGGAUCGUAAAGCUCUGUUGUUAAGGACGCGGUACUUAACCAGAAAGGGACGGGUAACUACGUGCCAGCAGCCGCGGUAAUUC
rnacentral:rRNA from 1 species